rnacentral:rRNA from 1 species
CUGACUGUGCAAAGGUAGCAUAAUCAGUUGGCUUUUAAUUAGAGUCUGGUAUGAACGAAAAUAUGGGUAGUAACUGUCUUAGCAUAUUUUUUCGAACUUAUUAAACAAGUGCAAAUGCUUGUAAUUUAACAAUAGACGAGAAGACCCUAGAAACUUGGACAAGUUUUUGUUGGGGCGACAGAAUUACACUUAACUAAUCUUAUAAUACACGACGCGAUGUUGAAAGAAUAAGUUACUCUAGGGAUAACAGCAUAAUUUCAUUAGUUUGUGACCUCGAUGUUGGACUAGGUACUAUACCCUUAAGGCAAGGAUAU